rnacentral:rRNA from 1 species
AGCUCCAAUAGCGUAUAUUAAAGUUGUUGCAGUUAAAAAGCUCGUAGUUGAACCUUGGGCCUGGCUGGCCGGUCCGCCUCACCGCGUGCACUGGUUCGGCCGGGCCUUUCCCUCUGGGGAACCGCAUGCCCUUCACUGGGUGUGUCGGGGAACCAGGACUUUUACUGUGAAAAAAUUAGAGUGUUCAAAGCAGGCCUAUGCUCGAAUACAUUAGCAUGGAAUAAUAGAAUAGGACGUGUGGUUCUAUUU